UGAGCAACAGCAUAAAUAUCACAGAUAUUGACAUGAAUACUGUGUGUGGGUUAAAUGGAACAGAAUAUGAGUGCAAGUGUGAGGAGAAUCAUGUUUGGCCCAAUGACACCUGCAGGGCCUAUCAGGUGUGUGAUGGCAUUGUGGGAGGCACUUGUGGAUGUAUUCAAGCUCUCCCUUCAGAGGGUCCGCUUUGCCAGAGAGACAUCAAUGAAUGUGAAGAUGCAGUGUCAGUGUGUG